rnacentral:rRNA from 1 species
GCCCUUUGGAAAUAGGAUACAACCUUUACUAGAGAGUAAGCAUAAACUAAUAACCAUAGUUGGCCUAAAAGCAGCCAUCAAUUAAGAAAGCGUUCAAGCUCAACAAACUAUACUUAACUAAAUAUAAUAAAUAUACUCAAACUCCUAACUCUACACUGGACUAAUCUAUAUUAAUAUAGAAGUAAUACUGUUAAUAUGAGUAACAAGAUUUAAAUCUCCAAGCACAAGCGUAUAUCAGAACAAAUACUUAACUGAUAUUUAACGGCCAAAUAAAUUUAACCUAUAAUAAAAUACUUAUUUUUUUACCGUUAAUCCGACACAGGUGUGCACUUAAGGAAAGAUUAAAAGAAGUAAAAGGAACUCGGCAAACACAAACCCCGCCUGUUUACCAAAAACAUCACCUCUAGCAUUACUAGUAUUAGAGGCACUGCCUGCCCAGUGACAUUUGUUUAACGGCCGCGGUAUCCUGACCGUGCAAAGGUAGCAUAAUCAUUUGUUCCUUAAUUAGGGACUUGUAUGAAUGGCCACACGAGGGUUUAACUGUCUCUUACUUCCAAUCAGUGAAAUUGACCUUCCCGUGAAGAGGCGGGAAUGUAAUAAUUAGACGAGAAGACCCUAUGGAGCUUUAAUUUAUCUACUCCAAUAGAAUAACCAAUAACCCACACAGGAAUAACACUUAAUUCUAAUUGGAUAGAAAAUUUCGGUUGGGGUGACCUCGGAGCAUAAAACAACCUCCGAGAAUUUCUACCAAGACUAACAAGUCAAAGUACCACACACUUAAUUGAUCCAGUCUAACUGAUCAACGAAACAAGUUACCCUAGGGAUAACAGCGCAAUCCUAUUCUAGAGUCCCUAUCGACAAUAGGGUUUACGACCUCGAUGU